rnacentral:rRNA from 1 species
AGUGAACGCUGGCGGUAGGCCUAACACAUGCGAGUCGAACGGCAGCACAGUAAGAGCUUGCUCUUACGGGUGGCGAGUGGCGGACGGGUGAGGAAUACAUCGGAAUCUACUUUUUCGUGGGGGAUAACGUAGGGAAACUUACGCUAAUACCGCAUACGACCUACGGGUGAAAGCAGGGGAUCUUCGGACCUUGCGCGAUUGAAUGAGCCGAUGUCGGAUUAGCUAGUUGGCGGGGUAAAGGCCUACCAAGGCGACGAUCCGUAGCUGGUCUGAGAGGAUGAUCAGCUACACUGGAACUGAGACACGGUCCAGACUCCUACGGGAGGCAGCAGUGGGGAAUAUUGGACAAUGGGCGCAAGCCUGAUCCAGCCAUACCGCGUGGGUGAAGAAGGCCUUCGGGUUGUAAUGCCCUUUUGUUGGGAAAGAAAAGCAGCAGGUUAAUACCCCGCUGUUCUGACGGUACCCAAAGAAUAAGCACCGGCUAACUUCGUG